rnacentral:lncRNA from 1 species
UUUGGAAGUGAGAACCGGAACUCCUCACUGAGCUAAGUAGGGUGAUGAGGAGUUUUAAGUGAGCUUUUCGUGUUCUAGUGCAUACCCAGAUGGUCUAACAGUUUGACUCUGGAGGCAGCGGUGGUAAUGACAGAGUCCAAGUCUCUUCGUUCCCUGUGUUCCUGGAUUAUUCUCGUGGUGAUGUGAUCCUGCACUCAGAAGUUUGGACAGUGGCCUCCUGUUUCCCCAGCUUUCUGACUGGCAGAUGUCUCUGGAUUGGCCAGAACACCUGCAGGUGUCUCCUAUGGCUGGCGGCUGGAAUCUGGCUUUCAUCAGUGCUAAAGACCCAACCUCAGAAAGCCCUGCAAAAAGAAUCAGGUGUUGGAGCCUAGCAGUCAUGAACCCUAUUUUGUUCAGAUGGUGAGGAACGAGCAUUACGUGGGCUGCAUCUGUGGCAGCUGAUGUGUCCAAUUUAGCCCCAGAAGAAAAAGGGUUGUCUUUCCUCUACAAUUUGGAGGUUCAGGGGUUUGGGAAAGAUGAGCUAACCUCUUUGAGUUUUACCAUCUGUAAAAUGAGGAUGAAAGUAUCUACCUUGGAUAGAGGUGAGGUGGCUCAGUGAGUAAAAGGCACUUGCCGCAAAGCCUGAAGACCUGAGUCCCAUCCCUAAGAACUGACUCAUUGCAAAUUGCCCUCUGACCUCCAGCCUGCACCAUGAUGCUGAUGUGCACUCACAGCCCACUCUAAAUAAGUACAUAAACAAAUGCAGUGGUAGUCU